UACAGAGGGGGCAAGCGUUAUUCGGAAUUAUUGGGCGUAAAAGGGCGCGUAGGCGGCUUGGCAAGUGGAAGGUGAAAUCCCUCGGCUUAACCGAGGAACUGCCCUCCAAACUGCUUUGCUUGAGGCCGGGAGAGGUGAGUGGAAUUCCCAGUGUAGCGGUGAAAUGCGUAGAUAUCAGGAGGAAUACCGAUGGCGAAGGCAGGUCUCUGGGCUGACACUGACGCUCAUGCACGAAAGCGUGGGGAGCAAACAGG
rnacentral:rRNA from 1 species